rnacentral:rRNA from 1 species
UACGUAGGGUGCGAGCGUUGUCCGGAAUUAUUGGGCGUAAAGAGCGUGUAGGCGGUUUGGCGCGUCUGCCGUGAAAAUCCGGGGCUCAACCCCGGACUUGCGGUGGGUACGGGCAGACUAGAGUGUGGUAGGGGAGACUGGAAUUCCUGGUGUAGCGGUGAAAUGCGCAGAUAUCAGGAGGAACACCGAUGGCGAAGGCAGGUCUCUGGGCCACUACUGACGCUGAGACGCGAAAGCGUGGGGAGCGAACAGG